rnacentral:rRNA from 1 species
AGUGAACGCUGGCGGUAGGCCUAACACAUGCAAGUCGAACGGCAGCACAGUAAGAGCUUGCUCUUACGGGUGGCGAGUGGCGGACGGGUGAGGAAUACAUCGGAAUCUACUUUUUCGUGGGGGAUAACGUAGGGAAACUUACGCUAAUACCGCAUACGACCUACGGGUGAAAGCAGGGGAUCUUCGGACCUUGCGCGAUUGAAUGAGCCGAUGUCGGAUUAGCUAGUUGGCGGGGUAAAGGCCCACCAAGGCGACGAUCCGUAGCUGGUCUGAGAGGAUGAGCAGCCACACUGGAACUGAGACACGGUCCAGACUCCUACGGGAGGCAGCAGUGGGGAAUAUUGGACAAGGGGCGCAAGCCUGCUCCAGCCAUACCGCGUCGGUGAAGAAGGCCUUCGGGUUUUAAAGCCCUUUUGUUGGGAAAGAAAAGCAGCAGGUUAAUACCCCGCUGUUCUGACGGUACCCAAAGAAUAAGCACCGGCUAACUUCGUG